UACGUAGGGGGCAAGCGUUGUCCGGAUUUACUGGGCGUAAAGAGCGUGUAGGCGGCCACGCAGGUCCGUUGUGAAAACUGGAGGCUCAACCUCCAGCUGUCGACGGAAACCGUAUGGCUAGAGUCCGGAAGAGGAGAGUGGAAUUCCUGGUGUAGCGGUGAAAUGCGCAGAUAUCAGGAAGAACACCAAUGGCGAAGGCGGCUUCCUGGCCUGUUCUUGACGCUGAGGCGCGAAAGCUAGGGGAGCAGACGGG
rnacentral:rRNA from 1 species